UUGAGUUUUUGUUAUUUCUUCUCUCAAGUUAGCUCUGAUUAUGCCUGCUGAGUGAAAAAUUUGUAUUUGCCGACAGAAAUAGGAACCAUACCACGUGCACUUCCACUCAGCAAAUGCUCCAAUACAUCACAAAGAUUUGCUCAACCCACCUUCAGAGGCCAAAUUGAGCAUGUUAUUUUCUGUUUAGAUCUGAUCCUGCAGACUAUCAGUCAGGAGUGUUUCUCAAUCUCUGAUUAAAACAAGGCCUACAAAGCUGCAAGUGUUCAUGCACAGUCUCAUUAGAGGACUGGAUGGAGUGACCCUGGUCUUCUAGCACAAAGCUGUGAGUGAACUUCAAAUAUGAGAGUGCAUCAAUCAAAUUCAAGCAAGGCUUUUAUCACUGGGAAAUCCCUCCAACUGGGACUAACAGGACGAUUUGACGAUUUUAAAAUUGACCUAUGCUAAUUUCACUCCCUCCAUACCCAAAACUGAAGAGGAAAACUGAUGGAAAAUAGCAAUGGCUG